GCCUCGUUAUAUCAGUCGGUAGAUAGUUUGGCUUUUACUCUGCCUCAUCGGCCUGAGUGACCAAAACGUCACGGGUUCGAGCCCCGUACGAGGCU
rnacentral:tRNA from 1 species